rnacentral:rRNA from 1 species
AGCUCCAAUAGCGUAUAUUAAAGUUGUUGCAGUUAAAAAGCUCGUAGUUGGAUUUCUGAUUGAGACAUCAGGUCGGGUCCGAGAGGAUCAUGUACUUUGAUUUGUUUUGAUCAUCCUUGGGGAGAGCAAUUCUGGCAUUAAGUUGUCGGGGUUGGGAUCCUCAUCGUUUACUGUGAAAAAAUUAGAGUGUUCAAAGCAGGCCUCGGCCUCUGAAUACAUUAGCAUGGAAUAAUAAGAUAGGACUUUGGUGGUCUAUUUUGUUGGUUUGCACGCCAAAGUAAUGAUUAAUAGGGAUAGUUGGGGGUAUUCGUAUUCAAUUGUCAGAGGUGAAAUUCUUGGAUUUAUGGAAGACGAAUUACUGCGAAAGCAUUUACCAAGGAUGUUUUCAUUAAUCAAGAAC